rnacentral:ncRNA from 1 species
UAGAGCCAAAUGAAUUGAAAAUUCAUGUUUGGUUCGGGAAGAGAUCAUAGACAUUUUGAAAUAAAUGCAAAGAGAAUCUACUUUCAU